rnacentral:rRNA from 1 species
UACGUAGGGAGCAAGCGUUGUCCGGAAUUAUUGGGCGUAAAGAGCUCGUAGGCGGUGUGUCACGUCGGCCGUGAAAACCUGCAGCUUAACUGUGGGCGUGCGGUCGAUACGGGCAUCACUGGAGUUCGGCAGGGGAGACUGGAAUUCCUGGUGUAGCGGUGAAAUGCGCAGAUAUCAGGAGGAACACCGGUGGCGAAGGCGGGUCUCUGGGCCGAUACUGACGCUGAGGAGCGAAAGCGUGGGGAGCAAACAGG